UCUCCUUCCUCUUCUUCCUUAGGGACAUCAUUUGCACUUUUAACGAUGAAAAAUUGCAAUUUGCACAUCCUUUUUUGACUUGCUUCUGCAGAAUAAAGAGGUAAAACCAGCAGGACUCAUUCCUCAGGGAUUUGUUUUUCUCCUCUGACAGGUGAUUGAGCUGAGAGGGCGCCCUCUUCAGGUGGAAGGAUGCAUUUGAGAAACAAAUCCAGCUCAGCGAGGACUACUUCCCCAGAACUGCUUCGUCUUCCUGAAUGGUUGUCACUGAAUACAAAGAGAAGAACCAGACCAUUUCCCCGACACUCAGCCGUAGAGGACAGGAAAACAAUUCUAUCAUUACAGAGAGCGGAACUUCACCUUGACCUGGCUGAAUAACCUGAGCUGCAGGGGGGUGGCCAAGCUGUGAGAGAAUCAGCUGUUAUUCUGGGUCCUUACAGGCUGUGAUUUCUACAGGAUCCUUUCACUAACCAAACAGU